GUUACUAUAUGUUGUCUAUCACAGUCAGCAAACGUCAAUCCAUUAUUUAAAAGUUCGUGAAUUUAAAAGAAUAUCACUACUUAUUAUUAAUAAAUUAACUACUGUACUCCACUGGCGUCCAGUUAUUUUUAUGAGUCACAAAAAAGUCCUUGGCAUUCAAAGUGAAGCUUCAUUGACGUCAUUGUCAAGGCUUCGGAAAAUUCAUUCAUAAACCAAACCAUUAUUUUUUAAGAAGAAAACGAUAAAAAAAGCGCAAUGACACAAAUCCAUACCGGCAUAAGAAGGCACACAGAACCAUUUGUGGCCACUCACGCACUGUUUGAAGCGUGUUAACGCGGUGCAGUGGUGCACAUGUGCGAUAAGCGAAUUUAAUCAAUCAGCGCGGAAAUGAAGUUCAUUGAGAAGGAAGAAAUUAGAACACAUCUUUGACGAUGAGCGCAGCGCUGCGAGUUUUUCUGCAGCGAAUCCACGGGAAUUGGUAUAAAAGCGCUGCGAAUACUUGCAGGAGGUCAGUCAAGUCAAAGCCAUCAGCUCGACAAGGACAAUCGCAACAAACACAAGAGCUCUAGCAUCACUACUAUUUCACCCAAAGCACAAGAGUUUGCGAAUAUACUGAACCAAGUGAUAAAUAAAAUGGGUUUCAGGUUUUGGCAGUUGCAAGCAACUGUCCUUUACCUGAUAAUAGCGACCAGUUUCGCUCACGAAGAAUUACACACUUGUGAAGACGGCGAUUACUUUGAAUGUUUUAACAGCGAGACGACCAAAUAUUCAAACAACGGUGAAUUUUCCGUACGAGCAAACAUUGAAUACUCAAAACAGUCAGGAUUAGAGCGUCAAGAACUCCCAAAGUAUUAUGAUUAUAUUGAUCCUACAAAACCUCGAGAUUAUUCAAAUCGGGCUAAUAAACGUGAAAUUACACUGCGCGCUGACAACCAAGAAGAGCGACGAGAGACCAUUACACGUUUGGAUAACCACGAAGAACAGCACGACAUUACAAUGCACUUUGAUAACCGACAGGAGUCACAAGAGCUUACAAGACGUACUGAUGAUCACAAAGAAAGAAUGCGCCGUGACGAACAUCAAGAACGACGAGAGAUUACAAGACGCGUUGAUGACCGCGAGGAACGCCGAGCCAUUGAAAUGCGUCUAGAUGACCGACAGGAACAACGAGAGAUUUCAAGACGUGUUGAUGAUCGCGAAGAACGACGAGAAACUUCAAUGCGCCGUGAUGAACAGCCAGAACGACGAGAGAUUACAAGACGCGUUGAUGACCGCGAGGAACGCCGAGCCAUUGAAAUGCGUCUGGAUGACCGACAGGAACGACGAGAGAUUUCAAGACGCGUUGAUGACCGCGAGGAGCGCCGAGCCAUUGAAAUGCGUCUAGAUGACCGACGGGAACAACGAGAGAUUUCAAGACGUGUUGAUGACCGCGAAGAACGACGAGAAACUUCAAUGCGCCGUAAUGAACAGCCAGAACGGCGAGAGAUUACAAGACGCGUUGAUGACCGCGAAGAACGCCGAGCCAUUGAAAUGCGUCUAGAUGACCGACAAGAACAACGAGAGAUUUCAAGACGUUUUGAUGAUCGCGAAGAACGACGAGAAAUUUCAAUGCGCCGUGAUGAGCCAGAACGACUAGAGAAUACAAGACGUGUUGAUGACCGCGAAGAACGACGAGCCAUUGAAGUGCGUCUAGAUGACCGACGGGAACAACAAGAGACUUCAAGACGUUUUGAUGAUCGCGAAGAACGACGAGAAACUUCAAUGCGCCGUAAUGAACAGCCAGAACGACGAGAGAUUACAAGACGCGUUGAUGACCGCGAGGAACGCCGAGCCAUUGAAAUGCGUCUACAUGACCGACAGGAACAACGAGAGAUUUCAAGUGUUGAUGAUCGCGAAGAACGACGAGAAACUUCAAUGCGCCGUAAUGAACAGCCAGAACGACGAGAGAUGAUUACAAGACGCGUUGAUGACCGCGAGGAACGCCGAGCCAUUGAAAUGCGUCUAGAUGACCGACGGGAACAACGAGAGAUUCCAAGACGUGUUGAUGAUCGCGAAGAACGACGAGAAACUAUAAUGCGCCGUAAUGAACAGCCAGAACAGCGAGAGAUUACAAGACGCGUUGAUGACCGCGAGGAACGCCGAGCCAUUGAAAUGCGUCUAGAUGACCGACAGGAACAACGAGAGAUUUCAAGACGUGUUGAUGAUCGCGAGGAACGCCGAGCCAUUGAAAUGCGUCUAGAUGACCGACAGGAACAACGGGAGCUUUCAAGACGUUUUGAUGAUCGCGAAGAACGACAUGAAACUUCAAUGCGCCGAAAUGAACAGCCAGAACGACGAGAGAGUUCAAGACGUGUUGAUGAUCGCGAAGAACGCCGAGCCAUUGAAAUGCGUCUAGAUGACCGACAGGAACAACGAGAGAUUUCAAGACGUGUUGAUGAUCGCGAAGAACGACGAGAAACUUCAAUGCGCCGUGAUGAACAGCCAGAACAACGAGAGAUUACAAGACGCGUUGAUGACCGCGAGGAACGCCGAGCCAUUGAAAUGCGUCUAGAUGACCGACAGGAACAACGAGAGAUUUCAAGACGUUUUGAUGAUCGCGAAGAACGACGAGAAACUUCAAUGCGCCGUAAUGAACAGCCAGAACGACGAGAGAUUACAAGACGCGUUGAUGACCGCGAGGAACGCCGAGCCAUUGAAAUGCGUCUAGAUGACCGACAGGAACAACGAGAGAUUUCAAGACGUGUUGAUGAUCGCGAAGAACGACGAGAAACUUCAAUGCGCCGUAAUGAACAGCCAGAACGACGAGAGAUUACAAGACGCGUUGAUGACCGCGAGGAACGCCGAGCCAUUGAAAUGCGUCUAGAUGACCGACAGGAACAACGAGAGAUUUCAAGACGUGUUGAUGAUCGCGAAGAACGACGAGAAACUUCAAUGCGCAGUAAUGAACAGCCAGAACGACGAGAGAUUACAAGACGUGUUGAUGAUCGCGAAGGACGACGAGAAACUUCAAUGCGCCGUGACGAACAACCAGAACGACGAGAGAUUACAAGACGCGUUGAUGACCGCGAGGAACGCCGAGCCAUUGAAAUGCGUCUAGAUGACCGACAGGAACAACGAGAGAUUUCAAGACGUGUUGAUGAUCGCGAAGAACGACGAGAAACUUCAAUGCGCCGUAAUGAACAGCCAGAACGACGAGAGAUUACAAGACGUGUUGAUGACCGCGAAGAACGACGAGAAACUUCAAUGCGCCGUAAUGAACAGCCAGAACGACGAGAGAUUACAAGACGCGUUGAUGACCGCGAGGAACGCCGAGCCAUUGAAAUGCGUCUAGAUGACCGACAGGAACAACGAGAGAUUUCAAGACGUGUUGAUGAUCGCGAAGAACGACGAGAAACUUCAAUGCGCCGUGAUGAACAGCCAGAACGACGAGAGAUUACAAGACGUGUUGAUGAUCGCGAAGAACGACGAGAAACUUCAAUGCGCCGUAAUAAACAGCCAGAACGACGAGAGAUUACAAGACGUGUUGAUGACCGCGAAGAACGACGAGAAACUUGAUAUGCGCCCAGAUGACCGACAGGAACAACGAGAGAUUACAAGACGCGUUGAUGACCGCGAGGAACGCCGAGCCAUUGAAAUGCGUCUAGAUGACCGACGGGAACAACGAGAGAUUCCAAGACACGUUGAUGAUCGCGAAGAACGACGAGAAACUUCAAUGCGCCGUGAUGAACAACCAGAACAACGAGAGAUUUCAAGACGUGUUGAUGAUCGCGAGGAACGCCGAGCCAUUGAAAUGCGUCUAGAUGACCGACGGGAAAGGUCAAAGCGCUUUGAUGACAGAGAGGAACAGAAUGAUAUUGCUAGGGAUACUAGUAGUCGCCAGUUAUGGCAUGUUCGUAUAGAAAGUCAUGACGGUUCAUGGGCAGAGAGAAGACGUUUAGGCAAUGAACGCUCAGAAAUUGUAAUACGUGAACUCUCUCGUGGAAAUGACAUUCGUGUAUUUGAACAAUUGCAAAGGAAAUCUACUGCUAAUGAAGUGAAAUCCAGCCCCAUGACCAGGACUAAUGUAAAUUUGAAACAUGGAUACAUUUUGCUUGGACAAGGAACAAUUUUGGCUUUUGCCCUAAUGAAGGCGCUCAAGGACUAUGAGUUUAAAAUAAAGAGAGUUUCAGCUCAACACAUUGGUGAUUCGGCAUAUCUCAUGGGAUUUUAAAAAUACAUACCUGCUACCGGAAUGACAAACAAUGAAACCUAUGAAUUGGCUUACGAAUUGUAAAUAAUAUAAAGUGUACCUAAAGCAAAUCUGCGAAAUUGCUGUGUUAAUGAAAAUAAUGAAAACGGAAUGAAAAUAAUUAAUAAUAGAAAAAUAGUUAUAAAGUUGUUAUGGAUCAAAUUAAAAUAAAUUGUAAUUAACUGUUGUUAUUUACUGUAGUAUAUGCAAAUGUAUAUAUUUAUAUAUAAAUGAAUAUCGGUAUAUAAUAUAACUUAUAUGUAAAUUAAAUAUUGUUCAAAUAAAGCAGCAAAUGAAAAUGACAUAAGCACGAAAUUUACUAUUUAGUUUUAAAACAUUUGAGUGACCCUGUAAUGAUUAAUUUUUUAUAUAAUGGCAAUGCCAUGUUUCUCGCUGUUGCUUUCCACUGUCAUUCGGUGGCUGCUGUCAAGGUGCUUUGAUAAAGUUUGGUCUUCUUUCAGUCAUUCGUGAUAUUUGAUAGAUUUUUAAUGCGUGUGAGAAUAUUGUGUAUUAAUUUAAUUAGCUUUAUUUUCUCUAUAUAAAUUUUUUAUUAUCAUAUUGGGAGCCUUUCGAAAAUGUUAAGAAUAAAAUUAUUUUGUAUAUGUGAAUAGUGUUUAACAAAACGAAAAAUGGAAAGUUUGUGUCGAUCAAUUUUCGAAUAAAAAGUGAGACAUUGUAGCCAAUAGCGCAAAGGUUUUUUGCUUCAAAAAAGUAAUAAUAAUUGCAUUUGUACAUCAACAAUAACUGGACACAUUCCUCUCCAGUUCAUCAGUGGUACCCACAUGAAAUAAAAAAUAUAUGUAUAAGCGCAUAUUUUUUCUGAUUUGUUUUCUCAAGCUAUAAAUCGCAGUGGUUCGACUAGCAGAGGAUUGUGAUUAACAGUGAAAGUUUAUACCUGCUGAAAAAAAAAAACAGAAAAUAAAA